UUCACCAAGCCGAGCACCGUACAGUGUCAAAUUGUGAAAAACCGAAUAUUUCCGACACAUUGUCUUAUUUCAAUGGAAUCUGGGAGCGAGUCAAAGCAUAGUGGAAUUCACAAAGAAUGGUUAAGAAGGACCAUUUUGACCUACAACGCGGACGUCUUUGACGGUUUUCUCACUCUACUGCUUUAGCAACUUGAUUAAACCGACACAAAAGAAUACGGCCCGCGUUCGUUUUCUUUCAAUUCGACAUGGUUCUAAACCUGAAGCAAUGAAAGCUUCUGCCGAAAUUGAAAACUGUAGGACAGGUCCGGGAGAGGAACAGUGAAAUCGCUCUGGGACAAUUGAGGAGAAUUUGCUGCACCUACAAUAAAAGCUCGAUGAUCCUAACCUA